rnacentral:rRNA from 1 species
GAACGGAAAGGCCUCUUCGGAGGUACUCGAGUGGCGAACGGGUGAGUAACACGUGGGUAAUCUGCCCUGCACUUCGGGAUAAGCCUGGGAAACUGGGUCUAAUACCGAAUAGGACCAUUUAGCGCAUGCUUUAUGGUGGAAAGCUUUUGCGGUGUGGGAUGGGCCCGCGGCCUAUCAGCUUGUUGGUGGGGUGACGGCCUACCAAGGCGACGACGGGUAGCCGGCCUGAGAGGGUGUCCGGCCACACUGGGACUGAGAUACGGCCCAGACUCCUACGGGAGGCAGCAGUGGGGAAUAUUGCACAAUGGGCGCAAGCCUGAUGCAGCGACGCCGCGUGGGGGAUGACGGCCUUCGGGUUGUAAACCUCUUUCAGCAGGGACGAAGCGCAAGUGACGGUACCUGCAGAAGAAGCACCGGCCAACUACGUG